rnacentral:rRNA from 1 species
GACGAACGCUGUCGGCGUGCCUAAUACAUGCAAGUUGAGCGCUGAAGGUUGGUACUUGUACCAACUGGAUGAGCAGCGAACGGGUGAGUAACGCGUGGGGAAUCUGCCUUUGAGCGGGGGACAACAUUUGGAAACGAAUGCUAAUACCGCAUAAAAACUUUAAACACAAGUUUUAAGUUUGAAGGAUGCAAUUGCAUCACUCAAAGAUGAUCCCGCGUUGUAUUAGCUAGUUGGUGAGGUAAAGGCUCACCAAGGCGAUGAUACAUAGCCGACCUGAGAGGGUGAUCGGCCACAUUGGGACUGAGACACGGCCCAAACUCCUACGGGAGGCAGCAGUAGGGAAUCUUCGGCAAUGGACGAAAGUCUGACCGAGCAACGCCGCGUGAGUGAAGAAGGUUUUCGGAUCGUAAAACUCUGUUGGUAGAGAAGAACGUUGGUGAGAGUGGAAAGCUCAUCAAGUGACGGUAACUACACAGAAAGGGACGGCUAACUACGUG